UCCGCAAUGGGCGAAAGCCUGACGGAGCAAUACCGCGUGAGGGAUGAAGGUUCGUGGAUUGUAAACCUCUUUUUUCAGGGAAGAUAAUGACGGUACCUGAAGAAUAAGCAUCGGCUAACUCCGUGCCAGCAGCCGCGGUAAGACGGAGGAUGCAAGCGUUAUCCGGAAUUAUUGGGCGUAAAGCGUACGCAGGUGGCAUAUCAAGUCCUUUGUUAAAGCGCGAGGCUCAACCUCGUAAAGGCAGAGGAAACUGGUAAGCUAGAGUAUGGUAGGGGCAGGAGGAAUUCCCAGUGUAGCGGUGAAAUGCGUAGAUAUUGGGAAGAACACCAGUGGCGAAAGCGUCCUGCCAAGCCAAAACUGACACUCAUGUACGAAAGCUAGGGGAGCGAAUGGGAUUAGAUACCCCAGUAGUCCA
rnacentral:rRNA from 1 species